rnacentral:rRNA from 1 species
AUUGAACGCUAGCGGGAUGCUUUACACAUGCAAGUCGAACGGCAGCGCGGACUUCGGUCUGGCGGCGAGUGGCGAACGGGUGAGUAAUGUAUCGGAACGUGCCCAGUAGCGGGGGAUAACUACGCGAAAGCGUAGCUAAUACCGCAUACGCCCUACGGGGGAAGGCAGGGGAUCGUAAGGCCUUGCACUAUUGGAGCGGCCGAUAUCGGAUUAGCUAGUUGGUGAGGUAACGGCUCACCAAGGCGACGAUCCGUAGCUGGUUUGAGAGGACGACCAGCCACACUGGGACUGAGACACGGCCCAGACUCCUACGGGAGGCAGCAGUGGGGAAUUUUGGACAAUGGGGGCAACCCUGAUCCAGCCAUCCCGCGUGUGCGAUGAAGGCCUUCGGGUUGUAAAGCACUUUUGGCAGGAAAGAAACGUCGCGGGCUAAUACCCCGUGGAACUGACGGUACCUGCAGAAUAAGCACCGGCUAACUACGUG